UCGAGAAUUUUUCUCAAUGGGCGAAAGCCUGAAGGAGCGACGCCGCGUGGGGGAUGAAGGGCUUCGGCUCGUAAACCCCUGUCAUUUGUGAACAAUGGAAGGCAGUUAAAAGCUGUUUUCUUGAUAGUAGCAGAAGAGGAAGGGACGGCUAACUCUGUGCCAGCAGCCGCGGUAAUACAGAGGUCCCAAGCGUUGUUCGGAUUCACUGGGCGUAAAGGGUGCGUAGGCGGCAUGAUAAGUUUGUUGUGAAAUCUCCAAGCUUAACUUGGAAAAUGCAAUGAAUACUGUCGUGCUAGAGUUUUGUAGGGGGGACUGGAAUUCUCGGUGUAGCAGUGAAAUGCGUAGAUAUCGAGAGGAACACCAGUGGCGAAGGCGAGUCCCUAGACAAAUACUGACGCUG
rnacentral:rRNA from 1 species